rnacentral:misc_RNA from 1 species
GAUGAAGAACGCAGCGAGAUGCGAUAAUUAAUGUGAAUUGCAGAAUUCCGUGAAUCAUCGAGUCUUUGAACGCACAUUGCGCCUCAUGGCAUUCCGUGAGGCAUGCCCAUCUCAGCGUUAGAAAAUAUUCUCAAAUUUUAGUUUUGUGCUAAAAUUUGGAUCAUGUCAAAGAAGCUAUUACUAUUAUUGUGAUCGCUCUUUGGAAAUUGAUAGGUCUUUGAGUUGCUACUCAUAGAACGUGAUGAAUCUUUCUUCGUUCUAUUGUAAUUCACUCUGGUAGUCCUAAAACUUGUAUGCCUGUGGCAUAUCUUGUAAUUUGACCUGAGAUUGGGUAGGGAUACCCGCUGAACUUAAGCAUAUCAAUAAGCGGAGGA